GAUGAACGCUAGCUACAGGCUUAACACAUGCAAGUCGAGGGGAAACGACAUCGAAAGCUUGCUUUUGAUGGGCGUCGACCGGCGCACGGGUGAGUAACGCGUAUCCAACCUGCCCACCACUUGGGGAUAACCUUGCGAAAGUAAGACUAAUACCCCAAUGAUAUCCCACGAAGGCAUCCGAAUGGGAUUAAAGAUUUAUCGGUGAUGGAUGGGGAUGCGUCUGAUUAGCUUGUUGGCGGGGUAACGGCCCACCAAGGCAACGAUCAGUAGGGGGUUCUGAGAGGAAGGUCCCCCCACAUUGGAACUGAGACACGGGUCCAAACUCCUACGGGAGGCAGCAGUGAGGAAUAUUGGUCAAUGGGCGAGAGCCUGAACCAGCCAAGUAGCGUGCAGGAUGACGGGCCCCUAUGGGUUGUAAACUGCUUUUAUAAGGGAAUAAAGUGAGCCUCGUGAGGCUUUUUGCAUGUACCUUAUGAAUAGGACCGGCUAAUUCCGUGCCAGCAGCCG
rnacentral:rRNA from 1 species